rnacentral:rRNA from 1 species
AACGAACGCUGGCGGCAUGCCUAACACAUGCAAGUCGAACGAGACCUUCGGGCCUAGUGGCGCACGGGUGCGUAACGCGUUGGAUCCUGCCUUUAGGUUCGGAAUAACUCAGAGAAAUUUGAGCUAAUACCGGAUGUUGUCUUCGGACCAAAGAUUUAUCGCCUUUAGAUGGGCCUGCGUUGGAUUAGCUAGUUGUUGGGGUAAAGGCCUACCAAGGCGACGAUCGAUAGCUGGUAUGAGAGGAUGAUCAGCGACACUGGUACUGAGACACGGUCCAGACUCCUACGGGAGGCAGCAGUGGGGAAUAUUGGACAAUGGGGGAAAGGCUGAUCCAGCAAUGACGCGUGAGUGAUGAAGGCCUUAGGGUUGUAAAGCUCGUUUACCCGAGAUGAUAAUGACAGUACCGGGAGAAUAAGCUCCGGCUAACUCCGUG